AGUGCAAGUCGGCUUGUCGCUGCAAAUCUCAUGGAUUUGGGGAGGAAAGUCCGGGCAACAUAGAGCGCCAUACUUCCUAACGGGAAGGGUGUCAACUGGCGACGGUUGGCAUACAGAAAGUGCCGCAGAAAAUAUACCGCCCCGAUCGCUAUCGGGGUAAGGGUGAAAAGGUGGAGUAAGAGCCCACCGCUUCGGCAGUGAUGUCGAGGGCAUGGCAAACCUUAUGGGUUGAAAGAUCAAAUAGGCCUCGGGCAAAGAGCUGCUCGUUCGAUUCUCGAUUUUCGAGAUUCCGGGGUGGGUAGAUCGAUGGAUCCUGAUUGUGAAGUCAGGACUAGAUAAAUGACAAGCGUCUUCACUUUUUAGUGGAGAUUACAGAACCCGGCUUACAGACUUGCACUUUUU
rnacentral:RNase_P_RNA from 2 species